rnacentral:rRNA from 1 species
GACGAACGCUGGCGGCGUGCUUAACACAUGCAAGUCGAACGAAGUGGCGAACGGGUGAGUAAUACGUGAGUAACCUGCCCUCCUUUUUGGGAUAAGCCUUGGUAACGGGGUCUAAUACCGACUACAGGGGGAUGGGCUCGCGGCCUAUCGGCUUGUUGGUGGGGUGAUGGCCUCCCAAGGGGGUGACGGGUCGCCGGCCUGAGAGGGUGACCGGGCAAAUGGGAACUGAGACAGGGCCCAGACGCAUGCGGGAGGGAGGAGUGGGGGAUAGUGCACAAUGGGCGAACACCUGAUGCAGCGGCGACGAGAGGGGGAUGAAGGCUUUUGGGUUGUAAACCUUUGUCGCUAACGAAAGGGUAGGUGGAGAAGAAGCGCCGGCUAACUACGUGCCAGCAGCCGCGGUAAUAC